rnacentral:rRNA from 1 species
GAUGAACGCUGGCGGCGUGCCUAAUACAUGCAAGUCGAGCGAACAGACGAGGAGCUUGCUCCUCUGACGUUAGCGGCGGACGGGUGAGUAACACGUGGAUAACCUACCUAUAAGACUGGGAUAACUUCGGGAAACCGGAGCUAAUACCGGAUAACAUGUUGAACCGCAUGGUUCAACAGUGAAAGACGGUUUUGCUGUCACUUAUAGAUGGAUCCGCGUCGCAUUAGCUAGUUGGUAAGGUAACGGCUUACCAAGGCAACGAUGCGUAGCCGACCUGAGAGGGUGAUCGGCCACACUGGAACUGAGACACGGUCCAGACUCCUACGGGAGGCAGCAGUAGGGAAUCUUCCGCAAUGGGCCAAAGCCUGACGGAGCAACGCCGCGUGAGUGAAGAAGGUCUUCGGAUCGUAAAACUCUGUUAUUAGGGAAGAACAAAUGUGUAAGUAACUAUGCACGUCUUGACGGUACCUAAUCAGAAAGCCACGGCUAACUACGUG